GCCUGCUUAGCUCAGUGGUUAGAGCGCUUGGGAACUAUUGAUCUCAAGUGACGCGAGUUCGAUUCUCACAGUGGACA